UACAGAGGUCUCAAGCGUUGUUCGGAUUCAUUGGGCGUAAAGGGUGCGUAGGUGGCAUGGUAAGUCGGAUGUGAAAUCCCGGGGCUCAACCCCGGAACUGCAUUCGAUACUGCUGCGCUAGAGUACUGGAGAGGAGAUUGGAAUUUACGGUGUAGCAGUGAAAUGCGUAGAUAUCGUAAGGAAGACCAGUGGCGAAGGCGGAUCUCUGGACAGUUCCUGACACUGAGGCACGAAGGCCAGGGGAGCAAGCGGG
rnacentral:rRNA from 1 species